rnacentral:lncRNA from 1 species
AGGGGUAUAACACCCAAUCCCAAUGUAACAGGAUGAACCUCAGAUAUACCCUCAGAACAUGAAUCAAUCUCAAAUGUAGAAACAAUAUCAACAGCAGGCUCAGAUUCAUGUUCAGUGCAUGGAGAAUAAACAUUUAGAUGUAAUAGCAAAAGGUGGUUCUCAUCAUGCAAGGAGGGAGAAUUAAAAGCAUGCUCAUCAACAAUAUAAUCAUCAACAUACCUAUCAUCAGCAUAAUCAUCAACAACAGAAUCAAUCAUAGGCAUGUUUACCUCCACUUCCCUGGAUGUGGCUAAAGUGGUGGGAGAUGAAAGUGGUCCACCUAUCUCGAAGGUAGUGCUCAUAUCUGCCUGGUCCUCCAAUUCUUCAUUAGUCUCCUCAGGUGCAAGAGUGGGGACAUAGGAGUGUGGGAAAGUAGAUGGCGCAGUACUAAACCCAUGACUCUGCUCCUCAUAUCCUAUGUGGAUGGCACCAACAUCAUCUAGAAGCUGAACAGCCUGAAAUGGUGAUUCCUCUGAAACAUAAGACUGUUUCUCAGUGAGCUAAGUGACCGUCUCCCCCAUCUGGUUGCUCAAACUCUGAAUUGACGCUCUGGUCUCCUGUUGAAACUCCAUGUUCAGUUGCUGUAACUAAAUGUUUUGAAUAGUCAUCUGCUCCAAUAACUCCUUCAAUGUAGGCUCAGAAGUAGUGGGAGGAUGAGGAGUUCCUUGGGCAGGCUCAUGAAACUGCGGCUGCUGUGGUUCCUGAACAGGUGGAGAAGGCAUACAAGAAUUCUGGAAUGGCUGGUUUUGUUGUGGAGCAUCAUACCAUCCCAGGUCAGGAUCAUUCCACCCAGGAUCGUUGCUAUAUGAAUCAAAAUGAUGCUGAGUAGGGGAGAAUCUAUCUAAAAACAAAUGCUUAAGAUCUUCCCAAUUGACCCUGAAUUCUGGUGGAAGAUGAAUAAGCCACUCUCAUG